GAUGAACGCUAGCGGCAGGCUUAAUACAUGCAAGUCGUGGGGCAGCAGGUUUGUAGCAAUACAGAUGCUGGCGACCGGCAAACGGGUGCGGAACACGUACAGAACCUUCCUUUGAGCGGGGAAUAGCCCAGAGAAAUUUGGAUUAAUACCCCAUAGCAUAAUGAAGUGGCAUCACUUUAUUAUUAAAGAUUUAUCACUCGAAGAUGGCUGUGCGGCUGAUUAGGUAGUUGGCGGGGUAAAGGCCCACCAAGCCUGCGAUCAGUAACUGGUGUGAGAGCACGACCAGUCACACGGGCACUGAGACACGGGCCCGACUCCUACGGGAGGCAGCAGUAAGGAAUAUUGGUCAAUGGAGGCAACUCUGAACCAGCCAUGCCGCGUGGAGGAUGAAGGUCCUCUGGAUUGUAAACUUCUUUAUAUGGACGAAAAAGGCUUUUCUAAGUCGUCUGACGGUACCAUAUGAAUAAGCACCGGCUAACU
rnacentral:rRNA from 1 species